GUCCCUGUAGCGAAAUGGAUAGCGCGUUGGACGUCUAAUCCAAAGGUCGUGGGUAUCGAAACCCACCUGGGAUG